rnacentral:misc_RNA from 1 species
GAUGAAGAACGUAGCGAAAUGCGAUAAGUAGUGUGAAUUGCAGAAUUCAGUGAAUCAUCGAAUCUUUGAACGCACAUUGCGCCCGCCAGUAUUCUGGCGGGCAUGCCUGUUCGAGCGUCAUUUCAACCAUCAAGCCCCCGGCUUGUGUUGGGGACCUGCGGCUGCCGCAGGCCCUGAAAUGCAGUGGCGGGCUCGCUGUCACUCCGAGCGUAGUAGUUACAUCUCGCUCUGGGCGUGCUGCGGGUUCCGGCCGUUAAAAGCCUUAUUUACCCAAGGUUGACCUCGGAUCAGGUAGGAAGACCCGCUGAACUUAAGCAUAUCAAUAAGCGGAGGA